rnacentral:sRNA from 1 species
UCAGAGUAUAAGAAAUAUUAAGGUAGAUUCAGUUUACCACAUCAUGCACAUAUGAUGUUUCAGCCUGUGGGCCCCUCAGUUGCCAAGUAAAUGUGACAUUGCCAUGUGUUACAGAGGACUAUGUGGGGUUCAAAGUUCAAACUAUGCGAGGGGCCAUUUGCAUGUAGGCCUGAGUUAAGGGAUCAUGUGCCACAUGCAAGGAACUGAGGACAAUAUGAUAGCCAUUGCUGGUCCAAGUAUCAUCCAUCAAUUGGCAGUAGCUGAAAGAACUGCUUCGUACAGUUGGGCCUUUUGGUUAGGAGCUAAUUCCAGAAGCUUUGAGUGGCCGCAUACUCAUCAUUUAUGAUGCAUUGCAUUGAAAUUUUUGUUGAAACAUGGAUGGCAUGGCCGAGAGGGAACUAAAAGAAACACAACAUCCACCAAGGAGCUACCCGUAUUCAUCUAAGAGCAAAGAGUGAAAACAGAAGAAAGAGGGGGUGAGAGGGAAGUUGCCUUGGCCAUAUCAGUCAACUUAUCUUGUUAUUUAGAAAUCAAUUAUUGGCUAAUAACUAAAGAAUAAAAGGUUCACUGUUUGUUAUGCAGUGCUGGUUUUGGCAAACAUCCACAUCUUUGGACCACUAACCUGUGAAGCACCUUUCAAGUACUAUUUUCAUGUUAGGUAACAUGGUUUGUAUAUUAUGGUUCCUAUACAUUUUUCUCAAGUUAAAAGGACUGGUGGCUGUGGAAUAAUAUUGUCAACCUUUCAUCCUACAUAGGAUAGUUCUUGAUCAAUGUUACUGCGUGAUGGAUAAGGAAGUUAUCCACAUCAAAGCUCUAUCUUAUCUACAUGCUUCACCAUAUGCAGAAGCUUUUUGAAUCUGCAAAUGCAAUUUUCUAAUUAUGUAGAUUAUUCAAUCUUUUCGUAUGUCAUUUAUCUCUUUUUGCUAACAGAACAAUUGCCUUUACUUUCCCGAAGAAAAGCCACGUGUUGAUUUGUGGUGAACUUCUUUUUAUAAUGACAGUAAGUUUAAGUGUUAAACUA